GUGGGGAAUAUUGGUCAAUGGGCGGGAGCCUGAACCAGCCAAGUCGCGUGAAGGAAGAAGGAUCUAUGGUUCGUAAACUUCUUUUGUGCAGGAAUAAAGUGGGUUACGUGUAACCUUUUGUAUGUACUGUACGAAUAAGGAUCGGCUAACUCCGUGCCAGCAGCCGCGGUAAUACGGAGGAUCCGAGCGUUAUCCGGAUUUAUUGGGUUUAAAGGGUGCGUAGGUGGAUUGAUAAGUCAGCGGUGAAAGUUUGCAGCUUAACUGUAAAAUUGCCGUUGAAACUGUCGGUCUUGAGUGCAAAUGAGGUAGGCGGAAUGUGUUGUGUAGCGGUGAAAUGCUUAGAUAUAACACAGAACUCCGAUUGCGAAGGCAGCUUACUGGGAUGCAACUGACACUGAUGCACGAAAGCGUGGGUAUCAAACAGGAUUAGAUACCCUUGUAGUCC
rnacentral:rRNA from 1 species